AUUGAACGCUGGCGGCAGGCCUAACACAUGCAAGUCGAGCGGAUGACGGGAGCUUGCUCCUUGAUUCAGCGGCGGACGGGUGAGUAAUGCCUAGGAAUCUGCCUGGUAGUGGGGGACGACGUUUCGAAAGGAACGCUAAUACCGCAUACGUCCUACGGGAGAAAGCAGGGGACCUUCGGGCCUUGCGCUAUCAGAGGAGCCUAGGUCGGAUUAGCUAGUAGGUGAGGUAAUGGCUCACCUAGGCGACGAUCCGUAACCGGUCUGAGAGGAUGAUCAGUCUCACUGGAACUGAGACACGGUCCAGACUCCUACGGGAGGCAGCAGUGGGGAAUAUUGGACAAUGGGCGAAAGCCUGAUCCAGCCAUGCCGCGUGCGUGAAGAAGGUCUUCGGAUUGUAAAGCACUUUAAGUUGGGAGGAAGGGCAGUAAGCUAAUACCUUGCUGUUUUGACGUUACCGACAGAAUAAGCACCGGCUAACUCUGUGCCAGCCGCCGCCGUAAUAC
rnacentral:rRNA from 1 species